GCCCGUUGACCGGUUGACACGCGACCGUGGGCAGCGAAACCGGGUCCGGGGUGGGGAGAGGGGGGUGUAAAGGGGGGGGUAGGAUUGAGCCCCGGGCAUGGAGCUGCCUCCGCCGCCCGCCUGAACUGAGAGGGACGAUCGUGACGGGAGCCACCAGCCCGGCAUCGCCCGGGUGAUGGAGAACCUAACAACUCCUCUAGCCUGGACAAGAGUCAUCAACAGCUCCUUGGACCCAGGUGGCGCAGGAGACAACACCUACAAGUGCAUAUUUGAUGAGGACUUCAAGUAUGUCCUGCUGCCUGUCUCCUAUGGCAUUGUGUGCGUGGUGGGGCUCUUUCUCAACCUACUGGCCCUCUACGUCUUCAUCUUCAGGAUCAAGACCUGGAAUGCCUCCACCACAUACAUGUUCAACCUGGCCGUGUCCGACACACUCUAUGUGGUCUCCCUGCCCCUCCUGGUGUAUUAUUAUGCCAUGGGGGACAACUGGCCCUUCGGCGUGGGCUUGUGUAAGAUAGUUCGCUUCUUGUUUUACACCAACCUCUACUGCAGCAUUCUUUUCCUCCUCUGCAUCAGCGUCCAUCGAUUCCUGGGCAUCUGCUUCCCACUGAAGUCACUGCAGUGGGGACACGUUCGCUAUGCCCAGAGAGUGUCAGUCAUCGUGUGGGUGGUGACCGUCGUGUGCCAGUCGCCCGUGCUCUUCUUUGUCACCACCAGCGUGAAGCGUGACACUAUCACCUGCCACGACACGUCCAGCAAGGACCUCUUUGGCCAGUUUGUCAUUUACAGUUUAGUGAUGCUGGUGCUGCUCUUCUGCAUCCCUUUCCUCAUCAUCAUCAUCUGCUACUGUCUAAUGGCCCGGAGGCUGCUGCAGCCCACACGGGGGAUCUCCCGGCUGUCCCGAUCCAAAAAAAAGUCAGUCAAGAUGAUAAUCAUCGUCUUGAUGGUCUUCAUCAUUUGUUUUCUUCCUUUCCAUGUCACUCGUACCUUGUACUACUCCUUCCGGAGCUGGGACUUAAGCUGUCAGACUCUCAAUGCUAUCAAUUUAGUCUAUAAGGUGACUCGUCCCCUAGCUAGCACCAACAGCUGCUUGGAUCCCAUUUUGUAUUUCUUAGCCGGACAACGAUUUAUGAAGUUUGCAGGCAGCAAGAUGCCAGGGAAGCCUCAAAAUGAAAUGGCGCUGGGCAUUGUGCCCAACAGUCACCUGGGAACCAGCAACGACACAGACACGUUAUCCAAGGAUGUGAAAUCCUAGCGUUGCUCCAGCAUGGCCAGCACUGUCUCCGUGACUGAAGGGUUCAUCCCAGGUGAGAAGGGAGGUCAGGAUGCUUCAGGGCCCAAGGCUUUUGGUGUUUGUGGUGCCUUGGCUUUCUCCCACUUCGGCAUUGUCCGUGUUAAACGCGCUUCUCUGCUUGUUGCUGUUUCAAAUGUGUUUUUUUUUUCAGGAAGAUGCCGCUGUGGUUAUACAUACAAACCCUGUAUCUCUGCCUCUUCAUCCAAGCCUGUCUCUGUUCAGUGCUGAAUAGCAUCUCUCCACCACUGAGGCUGGGUGACCUCUAUCACGGUGGCCAAAUCUGCUAAAAAAAAUUCACGCCCUCUACACCUUUCUAAAGCAGAAAUGUUGCGUGCAAAAUGUUCCCCUAAAGAUAUCCAUCUGCCUUUCUUCAGAUUCCCUUGCACAGAGGUAGCAAGGGUUUCUCUGUGCCUUAACAAGAGAGGAAAGGCUUUUGGUCAAUGAGGAGCAUCAGCUGCAUUUCUGCUAAACAGGGCAAUGAAAAUGUCAACUGCAAAUACCACCCGCAGCCGGAAAGGGUCUCCCACAGCUUUGCACCCCUGAAGAAAUGCUCUCGCAGCUUCAAGCCCCGGCAUCUGCUGGCAGAGCCAGGAGGGGAUUCCCAGCUCCUGUCCGAGGACUAGCUUCCCAUUAAAAAGGGUGCUGGUGGACCUUCCAUCCCACUGGAGUUCACUGGUACCAUCCCACUGGAGUUUAGUGGUACCAUCAUGUAGGUCCCCUGUAGGUUUCUCCAGUGAGGUCAGCAUCUUCCAAGAGACCCAUUAGUGCUUACCAACAGCAACUCUUGAAAAGCUUUUAGGAACCCAUAGUUUUCUCUCAGCUGCUGACAUUAAUCAUCAUCUCAAGCUCAUAAAAAUUUAGGUUGAGCUCUUCAUGUCUAGUUUUUAAUCUUACUAGUGACUCAUAUUUCCAUCAAAGAAGCAAAGACCGUUGCUCAUCCCCUUGGGUGAGUGCUGCCACAUCCUCAUUUCUGCUCAGAGGUGACAGCCCUCUGUGACCUUUAGCAGCUUGGCAUGACCCAAGUGCUGCUGUCUGGUCUCCCCGUAAACCCAGUAAUCCCACUGCUCCACUGGAGACAGUCAGCAUAUCUCUUACUGACAGUGUAGACCUUCCCUGGGAAAUUUGUCAGCGCUAAACCCUGGGUUUAGGAGCCAUGCCAGUAAACGCAGUGCUAAACUUAAUCCCAGCCCUGUCUGGAUUUGGCCUUGCAUCCCCCAUCAGCCAGGACAGUUCAAAGUAAACUGGAGAAAAUACCCACAAAACACUUCCCGAGAAAGUCCACUUGAUCCUUGGACUUUCUCUCUGUAAUUGUGGGGUUAGAGAGCCGAGAGCCAAGGUUUAUGGUUUCCUUGCCCAGCUUUGCCACGAGGAUGCUGAUUCCUCACCCCAAAAAUGAAAAUUGCUUGUGCUGCAGCACUGGACAAGUUGUAUUUUAGGACUGGCUCUAUUUUAGGAUUAGGCAAACACAUUUGAUCCUGGUUUAGACCAAUUCCUCAGACAUGUUCUUAGUUUCUCCCAUGCCUCCUUCUUAUGAAGUGGCUUGGUGGAGAUAAAGACAUGCUGCAACGUAACCAGCCGAGUUCAGACAAGGGUGACUAGGACCAUCCAGGGUUAACUGGGAGGUUUCUGUGGUCCCGGCUCAGUGGAGCCGUGGUCCCAUGGAGGGCUCUUGUCCCAGCCAACAAUGUCCCAACCACAGGAGGCAAAGGAGGGGGGGACUGUCUCAGCUCUGAGCACCUUAGGCAAAGAAAAUUAGGACAUUUGUAGGGUAGUUCAUCUCAUCCUUGAGUGAACUUUUAGGAUAGGGUUGAGUUAAGAUAGGGCUUGCACCAUGGUAGCACCUUUUUUUCCUUCUGUCUGUGAAGGGACCUUGGUUUUAUGGGGAGGGUCACAGCGUAGUCACCAGGGCAAGACAAAUAACUGGGAGAAAUUCAUUCAACCGAAGCACUGAACUGGUACAAACAUUACUCCAGGCCAAGUCUUGCCUGGUCUCCCACGCUUGCCAAAAAGCAGCAUGAACACCGAGUUACGUGCUCUGAAUAAUUCAGUAAAAAUGUGCUCAAAGUUCAGUCCUGCGGUCCUGCUCGCCAAUCCCACCUUUCUCCGAGCUGGCAUCCGCUGGCUUCAAGCCACCACCUUGGACAACACUGCCGGUCCUAUCAGAGGGUUCCUUUGUGGUCCCGAUCCCACACAAGCUAGUGGCACUGUUCAGAUGCAGAGCGGUCAGAGAGGUACCAACUGGAAAUUUAUCUAUGGAUUUGUUUGUUUGUUUGUAAAAGCACUAACUUAUACUAAAAAAAAAAAAAAAAAAAAAAAAAAAGAGGGUUUGUGAUAAUGACUGUACAUUUUUAUUUUUGUAACAUGCAAACACCUCAGAUUUCUUAGAGUAAAUAAAUUUAUUUCUACUAUGAGCACUCUUCUGCUGUCUCCUCCAAUAUGUACAAAGGGGAGAGGAUACCAGGGACAGAAACUGGGUUGUUGAAUAUCGUAGAUGUGUUUCAAGCUCCAGAUACAGCCGUCCACACAGGGGCUCCACAGUAGCUACCUCCAGCAUCUGAACUCCUGUGGGAGUCCAUGGAGGAGGUGGUCACCCAAAGAGACAGAUCUUCUCAUCCUUGCUCAAGGUGAGAUGGAGCUGAGAUGGAGAGGGCUGCUGGAGCACCCCUAAACCCAGCAGCUCACUGGGGAGGGUUUCACCUUAUCUUGCUGCUGUCUUCUCUUUUCCAGAAAGCCCAGUAACAUGUGCUUGUCCUGCAUCCUUGCUUCUCAGAGACAGAAGGAUCCAGAGGAGCAACUCAACUGUCUCAGAUGAGAAUUUGCUGCUGAGCCAGCCUAGGUUUUGGAGACCUACCCUGGGAUAAAUGCCAUGUGGACCAAGGGCUUGUACAUGAAUAGCUUUAGCUCAUGGGUUUUACAGCAUCAUACCUGUUUUUCCUGCAAUGACUUCUGUGUGGCUCAUGCCAGCGCUGACUUGUGUGAAUCAUUCAAACCCAAGAAUGAGAACUAAGCAAGAAUAAUAUCUAUUGAUGGGGAGCGCAGAGGUUAUGCAGUUACUUCAGAGAAAACCCAAACCCACUUUUUCUAAAUGUCUCUUAGCACUGGGAGAAGGAAGAGAAAGUUAAGAGCAUUGAUGGUUUCCUGCCAAGCAAACAAAUCUGCUGCGUGGGCUGGAGGGAUGCACAGUUCUGCUAGACCUUCCGAGCAUCCAAGUACAGAGCUUUGCCUUCCCGAUCAUGCCUUUCUAGGAAGCAGAUCUUAAUCUGGCAGAGGCAGGCAGCGAGUCAUGUUGUUACUGUAAGCUACUUGGUAUGUCCACUUCUUUUUCAAGUAGUGAGAUCUGGCAUCAUUUUUCUUCUAGUUUUCCUCUGUGGGGCUUGAUUUUCUAAGGAACAAGUCUGCCUGCCCCUCCAAGUCAUUUCUCAUCUAGUGAGCCAAUUCAAUAGGGGCAAAGGCUCUGCACUAUUGAUCUACAAAUCUCAUAGAAAGCAGCUUGCUGUGCGAAAGAGCCAAAGGAGCCCUCACCCAACAGCUCAAACUUUAUAUUAGACAACACAGAAUCCGCACCCACUUCCCCCACUCUAUAGCCUGCAGUGGCUUGGGAAGGUGUCCAUCACACCAUCAGUGAUGAGUGAGGAAAGGUGAUAGAUGGUGCCUCAAAACCCUUCAGGAGACCAACGCUGAGUUCAAACAAAGGGAGGAGAUACCCAAAUCCCACAAAUUGACCAGAUUAUUGCAGAAAUUCCCAAAAAUGGAUGGGCCAAGGCAUCAUUUUCUUUGGAAGAAACCAAACCUGUGGGUGUUUGAAAUCACACGCCAAUCACCCAGCUUUGUGAGGAGUUUAUUUUAAGACUUUCACAGGUUUAAUACCAAUAUUUGCAGACUCCUUGCCAAAUAAAUGCUCAGGAAAGCCUGAAAGUUUAAAAUAUUCUUUUCUUUUUUUCUUUUCUUUCUCCCCAAAUACCUGCAAUUUUAAGCACUGACUAAAUGCCAACACC